rnacentral:lncRNA from 1 species
AACAUGCUCUAGAAGGUAGACCUCUUGAUAUUCUUUCAGCGUGAUUUUCUUUUAAACUACUUUUCAUUUUAAGGGCACAUGUAGUAGGAGCUGAUUUUUAAAGGACUGUUUAAAUUUUAUGCACUCUGCAGUAUUGUCUUAGAAUAUAUAAUUUAGGUUUUUAAAAACACACACACACACACACAACACACAUUUAUACUGUCGACCGAAAAGCAAAUAACCGUUGGUUUUUAUAAUUCCGCUUUGCUUUUCACAGGCACGGGUCCAGGAUUGUGUGUCCUCUGUGAGGAUUUUAACUCUAAGGCUUUAAUUCCACUGUUUAAUUUUCAGGUUCAGUAACAGCAGGCCUGCGCUGGGCGUUUCCGUGUUCAGCGGGUUCUCUCUGUUGGGCAGUUCUGUUCUCUUCUUGCUCCUGCGGGUCGGGGCUGGGCCCCAGCAGCAGGGUCUCCUCUGUGCCCCCUCCUUCCUUUCCUCCUGCACCUUCCUCGCCAGAACCCAGCUGCCAUCCCCCUCUCGGAGUUCCUUUCCCACUCUGAAAGUCUUGCACUUCCUUUCACUCUCCCGUCUCUGCUGUCUGUCCUCUCCUCCCACCCACCUCCUCUUGUUCUUGCUCCUCUGUCAGUAUUAGUGUGGAGGAGAAUUCCACUCUGGGCGCAAGAAUGUUGCGAAUGUGUUUGCACCAUGUUUACAACUCGAUUCCAUCUAAACCUUUGCUUUGACAGGUUUUUACUCAUGAUUUAUUCCUCCAGGUCUCAGGUUGGAGAGAAUAACAUUUGCAUUCUGUUAUUUUGCAGUUUGACUAUAGGAGAGCGUGGCGCUCCAAAGAUGCCGGCGUCCUGGUGCGCGGUGGCGCUGUGAUUAACCCCUGUUUUAUCCCUCUGCUUCUGCAGGACCUCUUGCAUGAGUUCAGUGUUAGUAGCGUGCCUCUUACUCCACUUGGAAGUGCCGGCCCGUGUGACCCUUUGUUACUGCUCUCGCUGACUCUGAUCCUUCCUAACCGUAAUGUGUAUGCGCAUCACGCGGGGUUGGGCCAGCUCCUCUGUGGAGUCUGAAGCUGUGUUUACUGGGAGUGCAUUGAGAGUUCAGAAGUCAAGAGGUGACUGAGUUGCUUUCCUCUGGGUUGAUCUACUUCAUGUUUCUACCAAACACACUACACUUACAUUUGCGGGAGAUGAUGUUGCCUUGUUUCACCCCAUUUUUCACUUUGUGCUAAUCACUGUGACAGCUUUAUCAGGAAUAGAUGUGAAGAACAGUAGUGACAUAGUUGGAAAAAAUGUAUUGUUGUGUGUAUCAUUUGUGUGAUUCCAGACUGAGAAAUGUGAUUUGAACUGUAUUGUAAUUUGCAAGAUGUGUUAAUAAAAUACCUGGCAGUUUC